UAAUAAAAAUAAUUUCAUGAAAGACUUCUCUCAGUAUUAUCUCAGUAUUUUGUACUUUUUGGUGAUAGAUUGUUUUUUUCUCAUUCUAAAGUUACUAAAGGUCUGGUGUGAACAGAAAUCUAAGAAGUCAAGCAAAUCCCUGAGUGCAAUUGUUCGGGGGGUGGGAGGGCCUAUCAGGUACAGCCGAUAUGAGAGCGGACUGUGGUUUCUGUCUGGUAGAACAGGUUACCAACGCCAAGUUCACUAACGAAACAGAAAGAGGAGCUCACAAGUGUCCCUGAACUCCUAGGUAUUUCUCUUCAUCGUCAGAACAAUCCUCUCGACAACACAAAGACCGCUGAAGUUCAAGGCUGUGUAGAUGGACGUCAGAGAAUCCAAACUUGGGCAGAGCCCCUGUUUACAUUCACAUUACAGGGCUGCAGCGAGAGGCGGGCCCUUCAGCUUCCUUUCAUGUAUGUCAGGUUUGUGAGAUACAAACUACAGACCACCAGAGGCUUUUCUCUAGUCCUGUGGCAGUUAUGUCCGGUACCUAAGAGUACCAUCCAAUUCUCCUGGAAGGGACGAUGUGUCCCCACCAAUAACCCAGCCAGCUAGUUGUCACAGGUAAUGGGAAAGUCAGAAAAGGGUGACAGGAAAGCCCUUCCCCACUGUCAGCAACCAACCUCCAAAUGACUCUAAACAGUUUCCCCUCUCCGUGAGAAGGUUAUACAGAGUGCCACCAUCAGUAGCUUAGGCAUGAAGCUCAGAAAUUGGCACCAUGACAAAACAAACAAGAGCUCCCCUUUGAAGACUCAUUAGCAGGGCAACACACAUGAAGCCACAUGUGCGCGCGCGCGCGCGCGCGCACACACACACACACACACACACACACACACACACACACACACGCGCGCGCAGCCUCUCACCACGCAGCCAUGUCACCUCUUCAGAUGGCUCCACUGGGACCUUCACAGACCCUUCCUGUUCCAACAGCACAACAGUGACAGCCGUCUUGUCACAGAAUUCUCAGCCAAGACUCAUUUUACCAAUGGAUGAUUCCAGACACCUCAGAUCCACACUGGGCUGGGGAGUUACUUCUGUUUUCAAGUUUCUUCCUUACUGCAAAGUGGGAAGGCUGCAGGUACCUCGGCUAGGCCCUGGGGCCUGCAAGACAGGUGGAAGUGGGCUGGGCUGGGCUUUUAUUCCCCUCUGAGCAUGAGUGGAAGGUUUCCAAAUUCGAAAGAUGAACCUCAACAUCAAGGAAAGGGGGUGUAUGUACCCAACGGAUAACAAAAUGCAACCUGGACUCCGGUUCUCUGCCGCUUCCCCCUUCCCUUAGGCCAGUUCCAAAACCCAUUGCCUACACCGUUCCUUUCAUCUAGAAAAACAUGUGGAGAUCCCUUUCCCAUUGGCUCCUUCAAACAGCAGACUUGGUAACUGGGAAAACAACCCAGAAAUAUUUCCCUCUCCUUAUCCCACUGGGAACCCUCGCCCCCUCAAAAGCAAGCAACGGCGGGUUACAAGAGCACCCUCACCAAGCUAGCAGAGAUGAUCCAGGGGUCUUUCCCCUCCCACUGACCCUGGCGCUGCCUCUGGGCCAACAAGCUGCUAUGAAGAAUCACCAAGGCCAGGCUAAACCAUACUUGGAUUAAUUAUGUUUGAAAGUCUCUCAUCUGAGCCCUGAGAAGAACGAACAAUUGAGUUUGGGGAAUGUGUGUGGUUACAUAUUUUUCCUUAAUGGCUUCCUGUACACCCUGGUUAUGUCUGGUCCCAUGGGGGGAAUUGCCAGUCUGAGUCAUCAAGUGUGAUCAAUGUAGAUCAAGACGCCAUGCUAAGUGUCUAGGACAGCAGAGAAGAAACAUACUUCUGCGAGCGUGCACAUGUGAAACCCAUGUGCUGGGUUUCCUUUGGGAACUGCCUGCCUCUGCUGUCUUUUCACCUCUGCAGCUAUGAACAUAACGUUGCACCAGAAUGUUCUACCAGCCCCUCUCAUCUUGGAAAGGGCCAGGAGGUAAAACUUCAGGCAUUAGAUCAUCACCAAAGCUGGAUGAAAUUAAGCCAGGCUGGUUAAUGUGCCUAAUUUCUUAGGCUUCAAUGACAGAGAAUCCUGGGGUUCUGCCCUCUCGGCCUUUAAUUUGAAGCUCCUGAGUAUAACGCCGAUCUAAAAACACCACUGGCCACUGUAACGAUUUCCAUUCAUUCACAUAAGAAAUAUUUAUCGAGUGUCUACAACAUACACAGCAUCCUUCCUAUUGAUGCAGGCUCCCACUAGCUGGCCCUUACUGGAAUGUGAGCAUGUGCUAGGAGCCGUGGUCUGGCCAUCACACAGCUGCAGCUGUGAGGAUUUACUGCACAACACACUUACCACUCACCCCUCCCGGUACCUUCCCGCUCUGAUGUCACAACUGUCCUACCUAGGAACACAGACGUGCUAACGGUGACCUGAUCUCCACUGGGCUUAAACAUCUAAGUUAUUCAUACAGCAUAAGGCUUGGGCAGCUGCCCUCAACCAUGUGACACUGGAAACACUGAGACUUUAGUGCAUCUCCCCCAGUCAGACCCUCAGAAGUUCUCACCCUCAGUAGAUAGGCGGGUCAUUCAAGAAAGGAACCGCAAAAAGGCUUGAGACCAUUUCUCGACAGGACCCGCCACCCACCCAGCCGGCCUGAGUGAAGAAUGUACUGUCCUACAGAGGCCUCCAUGAAACUGCCAGACCCAGUGGCAUGGCCAGACACAAGCAUUUCUUCUGUCCCUGAUAAGUUGCAUUGACAAGAGGAUACAGUUGCAUUUCUGCUGGCUCCCCUGAGGUGACCCAACAGGUUUUCUACAUCCUUGUUUGCCCUUUGGAUUCCCAUCCUGGUUCCUCUCACAUUGGCUCGUCCUCAGACUGGGCCUUGUGACUGUCCGGCCUCCACAGACAGGAGCAGCAGAAUAUUCUAGACGUGGUGGACAACCUUCCCCAGGUCUUAUAACUGGGGUAACCAUAUACACACGGCCACUGCACUCUACCAAGAGGGAGCCUGGCCCAGCUGUUACGUAACCGAAUGUCCUUUCACAGUGCCUCGUGUUAACACGUGUGCAAUGGGAGCUACAGGGAGAAAUGCAGAAGAGAAGCAAGCCACCUCUGAGAAGUCUAUCCAUCAACCGUUCCCUGACGUCAUCCCACCUUGGUCUGUCUGAUUCCCUAGCACAGAGCAGGGGAGUCCCCCACACUGGAAAGGAGAAGCAGCUAGGAUUCCUGGGGUCCUGGGAUUUAAUUGGUGUCCCUUUGUAAGAGGUUUACUUAAAAAAGAGAGAAGGGCUCAUCAUCUGGUAACUUUGCAGACCUUAGAAGCCAAGCAGUGGAAGCUCUAACAGAAAGUCCAACUCUCCACGCGUUGGGUGAAGAGGGUGGGGGCAGGAGAGAAAAGCACUGGGGAUUCUCUUUUCCUUCCUCUUCCCUUCCCUCGCCCUCCCCACAAGGGACCCUUUCCUGAGCCUUCCACUUCCCAGCCUCUUCUGCCUCUGGGACGGUAAGUGUUACUCAGCUGCAAGGCCUCUUGCUAAUUGUGGGUUUUUAUUUUUAUUUCCUAUUACCCUCUCGCACGCCUGAUGAGAUUACUUUACCGGAACUGACACAGCUGGAAGCAGCAGGCAUACGUGGAUCCUCUGAGGAGGUGAUGCAAUUUCAUUUUCAUUGAUCAGAAAUCAGCAGGGCAGUAAGUGAUGGGAAAUUCCAUUAGAAGAAAACUCAGGAGCCAUGAGCCUCGAGUUUCUAGCCACACCCAGGCCAGACCCCACACCCCCAACCCUACCCCCAGACCCUGAGGUCUUGCUUUCCCCUGGAUCAAGACUAUCCAGAGAGGCGGCUGGUGAACGCUCCUCAGAUGGACCCUGAGGGGACAAAUGCCAAUGCUGCCGCAGCUGGGGUGGGGGGCACAUCAAUAGGACCUCCUCAGACACUUACAACUUCUCCCGGUUACACAGAGCACUUCCGGCAACCCGGAAUGGGAUCCUUCAUGCCAACCUCACGGCUUCACAAACCCCGCCAUUUAGGGACCCCUUUCCAAGUGUCCACAAGCAAAAAAGGAAAUCGUGACAAGACUAGUUAUAAGCACAGAGGUGAUCCUCUAGGUACCUACCAUUUAUUGAAUGCCUACUGAGUGCCAGGCACUGUUCUAGAUCCUCCACACACACAGGCUCUGGGUCCUCCCCCAGCCCUCUGUGGUGAAUGUUGUCUUGGUCUCCUGAGAAGGGAGGCAGCGGAGGUCCAGGACAGGAUGGAAGUGAGCCAGUUGAUACCAGGGCCUUCCAAGAGCACCAAGCCAGUUCUCCCAAGCAGCCAAGGAGGGCUGAGUGUGCACGAGAGCUCACCCUGGAGACCUGGAGGAGGAUGGCGCACACCUGAGGGACCACCCUCUUCCUGUCCAGAGGUGGAAGGUGAUAGAUUCUGAUUCGUCCACCUCCAGGAUCCCCAACGCUGGACUCCCGUGUCCCAGACUGGAACCACAGGUGACCUUCUCUACGGAAUGUAAGGAAUGGCUACUGUUUUAGCAGUUAAAAUCCCCUCCAACUGUUUGUCCAGCAAAUCUCGUUUCACUCACCAAAGGCCUGGAGAAAACCCAGGGAGAGGUACUGGAAAGAACGAGUUCCACAAAGGUCACGCCGUGAGGGUGGCUCCUCAGACCGCCACGGACCGCAUAAAGACACAUCUCCUGAAAUAGCAGCGCCAUCAGAGCCAAGCUAUGGUCUUGACGUGGCAAGUUCAAGGUAAGCCAAGGCCGUUUCCAAAGCAAUGAAGGUCCCCCUUGCUUUAAAAGCUUUGUGUCUGAGAAACUUCCUUCAGUCUCCUCUAUCACUCAAGCUACUUUCAAAAGCCACCAUGUACUGACCUCUCCCAGUAGAAGUUCCUGGCAAACCACCACACUGGUAAUGUCAGAAUAAAAGAAAGGAUGAUCUAUCACAUCCCAGGCUCUGUACCUUAGUGAUCAGAAAGGACAUUGUAAAAAGGUUACACCCAAGCUCACACAAGCCGUGAUUUACAACUUGGAGUCCAAGUCUGAUUAAAACCAAAAAUUAAGGGAAAAAAAAAAAGAAAGAAAGAAACAAAGAAACAAAGAAAGAAAGGAAAAAGUAUCCAAGGAUAAGGUAGACGAGGUCUCCAUUCUUGCUUUAAACAGUUAAAAAAAUAUAUAUAUAUUGGAGGAAGGGGCUGAAGAGAUGGUUCAACUCUUGAUAUGCUUGCACAGGACCCAGGUUCAAUUCCCAGCACCCACAUGGUAGUUCAUAACCACCCGUAACCCCAAUGACCUUUUUUGACCUCUGCCAACGCCAAGCAUGCAUGUGGUAAUACACACAUACAUGUCAGGGGAAAGGAUCACUCGUGCAUAAAGUUAAUAAAUCUAAUGUUUAAAUUAAAAAUCUAUUUAGCCGAGAAUAGAGUUGUGCUAGUUAAUUCUUGCCAACUUGAAACAAACUUGUGUCACCUGGGAAGAAACUUCCAUCAUGGGAAUUGCCUCCCUCAGACUGACCUGACCUGCCAGCAAGUCUGAGGGGGUACUUGCUUAAUGACUGAUGCAGGAGGGCCCAGCCCUCUGUGGGUGUAGCCACCCCUGGGCAGAUGGUCCUGGGCUGUAUAAGGAAGCAGGCUGAGAGCACUGCAGAGAACAGACUGAGAGUAAGCCAAUAAGCAGCAGCUCUGUGAGGGACUAUGACUUGCAAGCCAAGCAUGCACUUUCCUUGCCUGAGAUGCUUUGGGUCACGAUGUUUAUAGCAGCAAGAAAAA
rnacentral:sRNA from 1 species